AAAACGGACCUGACUUUCUGGUAACAAAAUUGAAACCGUGUAAGCGUCUUAACAACAACAUAUUAGAUCUCAAAAUCUGUUAGUUAACCUUUUUACACUGCCGUCCACCGAAGGCUAUAUAAGUCAGACUGGCGGCAACGUGGGUCCUGGUCCCGGAUUCGCCAGUCCCCCCACCCCUUCCACCACACCGGCCGAGUGGUCGAUCAGCGAUGUUCCCGUCGUCUGGCCUCUUCGCCUGGCUGCCCUGUCCUUUCCCCCAGCGCUGCUGCAAACGACCCCAUUGCUGGUAUAAACAUGCCGAAGACGGGCGACGUUUGCUUGGGUACACUUCGCAGUCUUCUUCGUCUUGGUCGUCAUUAUCGCCGGUCGACGUAACAGUCUCGUGUGCGACGCAAGUUGUACUGGAUGCCAGAGAUGAGUCCUUCCAAGAGCUCGAGCGCAUCAACAAGAAGAUCGAAACGGCCAAGUACGAAGUAGAGCAGGAGCGAAGGCGGUUGUCACGGUACCGUGCCGCAGACGUCUCCCCCACUGAGGCAGAAGGCGAAAAUGCAAAUAAAGGUUGGUAUGGACCUGGUAUCAAAGCGCCCUCCCAAUCCGGGAAGUAUGUGCUUGACAAUUCCAAGCCAAGGACCGACUUGGAAUACGACCCCAUGUCCAACUUCACAGCCGAAUUCAGGUCCUACAAGUCGUCUGGAAAUGAGCUAAAAGGGAAGAGUGUGCACCAGGGUGAAAGAAAAAAGCCAGUCAGCCAUCAGGUGGUGCAAUGCUGCCCUCCUACCCCUAAGACACAAGAUGAUUCCUACGAUGACAGCAUACUGAUAAUUGACAUACCAGCCUCGCCUGACAGGAAGUCUCCUCAAGAUCGCUGUGAUCCCACUACUCGCAUGAGACCAGAGCAGGAGAUGGCCUGGAACGAAGACUGUGACGCAUCUGCAAGUGUGAUUGACCUGACAAAGUGUGUGGAAGGCCUCGACGGAAAGUGUCCCGAUUCUGAAGUUGCUUGUUUUCAGGCUGCUGAAUUUGAAAUGGACCAAGAUAACAAUUUGGACGAGGACGACAAGUCUGUUUGUGUCGAGAUUACACGGCAAACCACAGAGUGCCGUCCAAUCAAGAAAAAGCACUGCACUACACCUGACAGCCAUCAGGAGCCAGCAGAGGCCUUCCCAGGCAGCAGCCACCUCCAGCCCGAAAUCGGCUCAUCUCCCAAGGAGCUUCUUUCUUGGAAAGCAGGCAACGAUGCCGUCAUCGUCAUCGGUUCCAGCUCCGACGAGGAUGAAGAACAAGAAGAGCUGGACAUGGAGCUGUCUGACGGCGACCCUACGGAGGAAUGCUACCGCAUCUUCAUGGAAGCCAACAACGAGGAGAGCAGCAGCCAGGAGCAGCCAGAGGUGCCUAUGGAACCUAUCGAUGUGGCGAAACCUGACAUUCCCAGCGUCAAACCGCAAGAACUGCCUGCAAAGAGGAGGAUUGCGCAUGAUUCCAAAGAUGCAGAGGUUCCAGGGGCAAAAAGGAGGCCACAGCCUCUUGUUCUUGUUCCGCUGCAAGGGCCAGCAACCCCAUCCCUGGCGUCUCGGCCUGCUACCGCCGCCUUGCCUAAGACUCAGCAGGUCCAACAGAAGGCGGCCAUUUUGACGGCAGCCUUGAAAGGAGGCCAAGCGUUCCUCUCGUCCAUCGGUCAGAAGAAGCAAGAGAGACAGUCCAUGCUCUCUCUUCCUCCCGUAACGGCCCUCAGCGCUUCGCCUGCUACUCAACGGAAUGCAUACAUCAAUUACGUACCCGUGGGCUCUGCAGUGCUCAACGUGGGCGACAACUUGCGUCUGAUCCUCCCUCAGGGUACACUGCCCAUCACCUCUACCUCCAGCGACGUCACGUCCGUUCUCACCCCCAUCACUCAAUUGGGCCUGGCCCCCAUCAAUGCCAAGCCUGGGACAACAUCUGCACAGAAGUAUCGUCCCACCACUCCGCUGCUCAUUCCCGCCGCCGCACGGAGACUCUACCAGCCCUCCUCUGCAUUGGCACUUUUGACUGCUGCCAGUAAGACACCCAGCCAAGCAGCUAUAAUUAAGCCGGGAGUCACCAAACGAAAAGCGAAGCAGCAAUGCGAGGCGGCCAAAGACAAAGUGCCCCGUGACAUCCGACAGCGAUACGUCACCCAGUUCACGGAGGUGUUCCUCGACACCAGCACAAACAUUGACGAGGCCUUCAAUAAGGCCCUGGCAGAGGAGAAAACUGUGUACAAUCGCAGUGUCAACAAACUGAAGUAUCUCAGUGUCGCUGUGAAUGCGCUGAAGAGGUUGAAAAAGCAGAAUUCCGCCGCUGCUAGUGAUGACAAACUCAACGGCAAAAACCACAAAGGAAAUAUUCCACUCAACCGGAAAAAGCUAAAAGAAAAUGAUGACACUUCUUUGUAUGAGAUUUUGAGGGAUUACGUUCUGAGUGAAGAGCAUCUGAUCGAGAAUAAUUAUCCUAUCCAGCACCCAGAGAAACCUGGCUGUGCUGUCCUUUUGGAAAACAAGAAGGGCAACAACGACCCCCUGAAGAGGAUUUGCUGUCGGUGUGGAGCCACGUACUCUGUCAACAAAGCUGGCAAGCACACCCGCACAGAGGAGUGCAACUAUCACUAUGGGAAAGGAGUGGAGAACCGAGUGCCAGGUGGGGUGGAGACUCGCUACAGCUGCUGCCAGGGAGUCAUUGGAGCGCCCGGUUGCCAAAUCUUUAAGUUGCACGUCCACGAUUCCCUUGCCAUGGAUGGAUUUGUGGCGACCGUACCCAGUCGACCCGCAGAUAGCAGCUGCCCUGGAGUCUACGCGCUCAACUGUGAAUUGUGUUACACUAUUUACGGGUUAGAGCUGUCACGAGUGACUGUCGUGGACUCAAGCCUCCAAGUGGUCUAUGACACAUUUGUCAAGCCGCACAACGAGGUCAUCGACUACAACACCAGAUUUUCAGGCAUCAGUGAGCAGGACAUGAGGGACAACCACACGUCUCUGGCAGAGGUGCAGAAGACCUUAUUGAGCUUCAUCUGCGCUGACACUGUUCUGAUCGGGCACGGCCUGGAAACCGAUCUUUGUGCCCUGAAGUGUUGCUGCCAAAGACGAGAAGAAUGCAUGAGCUCUAUACCAAAAUUGGAGCUCAUGUCCAAGCCAUGUCACUUGGGUCACAUGUCCAGCCAGCAGUACAGGUCCAGUCUGGUUGGUCUCUACAAAUGAGGAGUGGAGACAAAAUGGUGCCAGGGGGCAAAAAAACAAGAGGGCGAGUCUAUUUAUUAACUGGUGACCAAUCAAGUCUAGCGUUUGCCCUUUGAGUAUUCCACUACUGAUUUUAUCCCAGUGAAAGAAUGCCAAGAAGUGGUUUGGCAUUGUUGAUUUUACCUCGGUAAUGCCUCCAAUUGUAUACUGAACUGUACUGCUUGGUGGAAACAAGACAACAGGAUUGCGCCAUCCAAGUUAUUUUGUAACUUACUAUACCCCUGCUCUUCAAAUGUGAGCUGUACUGACGGCAGUAAUGGGGCACUGUCAAGACAUCGAUGGAAAGCUUACCAGCUUUGCUAGUCACAAUUGAGCCUAUUCAUUUCACAUGAUUAUGAAAAUUGUUGGAAUGAAAGGGGUCAUUUUUGACAUGACCAUAUAGUCUUGACUGUCUUAUCACGUCAACCUUUCAGCCUAUUGACUUCUAUUUGUACUCGUGGUGCCCAACAAGCCAAAGUAAAUAUUUGGACUUAUGCAAUUGGAAGGUCAUCAGUAGUUUGUAUUUUUGAUUAAUCUGCCUCGGCAGUAUUAAUUGGAGUGGGUGAAACCAGAAGCUAUUUUGUUUUCCAUUCAUUAUCAUACAAUAUUCACCCAAAUUUUAAUGGUUCAUUGUUUAUUUUUGUGGUACUGUCUUGUUUUUCCCUCUAACAAGAACAUGAAUGGCAAAAUCCACAACUGGUGUUUAAACCAUAAAAGGACAAAUGCAUUUCCUGGUUCUUUUAUUUAAACAGUCCUCUUUAUCAUGCAGUUAACAUUUGACAUCAUGAGACCAAGAUGAUGCCCAACAAUUGAUCAUAAAGAUUUUUUUCAGGGGGACAUGGCCCCCAGGCUUGCUAUCAUCAGCAGUUCAAAUAUAUUGAACGACGGAUCAAGCGCGUCAUGAAUUUUGCUCUUCAGCUGUAUGUUUGAGACCUGCAAGUUGUGCCUAAAGUACUGAAAGAUUCAACAGUUGGACAUUUGUGUUUAGAGGAGGUCAAAUUAAGUUUACCUGUAUAGUUUAAAAUGCAUUUGUGGUUCAUCCUCAAUUUUGACCCCAACGCUGACUAUCCUUUUUUGUAAGUAGUGCAUUUGAGUUGCUGCUGUAAGAGAUUGGUGCUACAGGACGGUCUGUUGCUCUCUCUUACUUGUAGUUACUCCACGGUAUGGUGGUGGACACGGCAGUGGUCUUCCCCCACCGCCUGGGCCCCCCACACAAGAUGAACCUCAACAGCCUCACGGCCGAGCACCUGACCAGGAUCAUUCAAGAGAGUGUGUGCGGCCACGACACGGCAGAGGAUGC